GUAGUCAUAUGCUUGUCUCAAAGAUUAAGCCAUGCAUGUCUAAGUAUAAGCAAUUAUACCGUGAAACUGCGAAUGGCUCAUUAAAUCAGUUAUCGUUUAUUUGAUAGUACCUUACUACUUGGAUAACCGUGGUAAUUCUAGAGCUAAUACAUGCUGAAAACCCCAACUUCGGGAGGGGUGUAUUUAUUAGAUAAAAAACCAACGCCCUUCGGGGCUUCUUGGUGAUUCAUGAUAACUUCACGGAUCGCAUGGCCUUGCGCCGGCGACGGUUCAUUCAAAUUUCUGCCCUAUCAACUUUCGAUGGUAAGGUAUUGGCUUACCAUGGUUUCAACGGGUAACGGGGAAUUAGGGUUCGAUUCCGGAGAGGGAGCCUGAGAAACGGCUACCACAUCCAAGGAAGGCAGCAGGCGCGCAAAUUACCCAAUCCCGACACGGGGAGGUAGUGACAAUAAAUACUGAUACAGGGCUCUUUUGGGUCUUGUAAUUGGAAUGAGUACAAUUUAAACCUCUUAACGAGGAACAAUUGGAGGGCAAGUCUGGUGCCAGCAGCCGCGGUAAUUCCAGCUCCAAUAGCGUAUAUUAAAGUUGUUGCAGUUAAAAAGCUCGUAGUUGAAACUUGGGUCUGGCUGGCAGGUCCGCCUCACCGCGUGUACUUGUCCGGCCGGGCCUUUCCUUCUGGAGAACCUCAUGCCCUUCACUGGGCGUGUUGGGGAACCAGGACUUUUACUUUGAAAAAAUUAGAGUGUUCAAAGCACGCCUUUGCUCGAAUACGUUAGCAUGGAAUAAUAGAAUAGGACGUGCGGUCCUAUUUUGUUGGUUUCUAGGACCGCCGUAAUGAUUAAUAGGGACAGUCGGGGGCAUCAGUAUUCAAUUGUCAGAGGUGAAAUUCUUGGAUUUAUUGAAGACUAACUACUGCGAAAGCAUUUGCCAAGGAUGUUUUCAUUAAUCAGUGAACGAAAGUUAGGGGAUCGAAGACGAUCAGAUACCGUCGUAGUCUUAACCGUAAACUAUGCCGACUAGGGAUCGGGCGAUGUUCUUUUUCUGACUCGCUCGGCACCUUACGAGAAAUCAAAGUUUUUGGGUUCUGGGGGGAGUAUGGUCGCAAGGCUGAAACUUAAAGGAAUUGACGGAAG
rnacentral:rRNA from 2 species